rnacentral:rRNA from 1 species
AUACAGAGGGUGCGAGCGUUAAUCGGAAUUACUGGGUGUAAAGCGCGCGUAGGCGGUCUAUUAAGUCAGAUGUGAAAUCCCAGGGCUCAACCUUGGAACUGCAUCUGAUACUGGUAGACUAGAGUUUUGGAGAGGGAAGUAGAAUUUCAGGUGUAGCGGUGAAAUGCAUAGAGAUCUGAAGGAAUACCAGUGGCGAAGGCGACUUCCUGGCCAAAAACUGACGCUGAGGUGCGAAAGCGUGGGUAGCAAACGGGAUUAGAAACCCCAGUAGUCC